rnacentral:misc_RNA from 1 species
GUCUUUUGGUUAUAUUUAUAAAGGUGUGUAUAUAGAGGGUAAAAGUGAAAAAGGGGGGUUUGGGGUAAAAAAAAGGUUUGAACGAGGUCUCGCUCGAGAAAAAAAUCUCGGGGGAGAGACCUCGAACAAGGAGCACAAAAGGGGUGUAAGUCUAUAGAAGAAGAAAAAAAGAUUUUCCUUUCCUAUGAUGAUCCUUCCGCAGGUUCACCUACGGAAA